GGAAAAUGGUCUUGGAAGACAAAGCGAGCUGCAACGCACAUCUGGUGUGUACAUGCAAACACAGACAAGCAAAACUAAAAAUAGAAGCGAAACAAGGAUUAUGCCAAUGAAGACAGAUGGAUAUUUGCAAACUUCGGAAGAAAAACAAUGGUUUUAAUAGUGAUACAACGAUAGUACAACAAUAGCGACUCCAGGCAGUGGACUGAAUGAAAUAUCGUUCGAUACAAAUUCGAAUUAGAAUUCAACGUAUGAUGGAUGAAACACCCGUAGUCCUUUGUGUCAGGAAAUAACAAAAAUCAUGCACAUAGAAAUACAACACAAAAUAUGCUACAACAACAGGUAUUGAUUGCAAAACUAAAACAAAACAAUAAUUUUGAUAUUCUUAUUAUUCAACCGAGUUGGUAUUAAUACUUCCCAUGCUUAUAAGAUUGGUGGAUAAUCGCCAAAUAGUGUAACAAGUGUAGCAGCAACAACAAAUAAUACAUAUUCAAAUUCACAAUAAAAGUCAAAAUCGCACAACGCAAACGGCAAAUAACAAGGCAUCGAAUGAUGUACAACAAAUUACAUCGGACUUUUGAAGUAGCAGUUUUACUACUUAUUUUCGACGUGCUAAACAAAGUCUCCUACGAUGCCCUUAACAUAGUAACAGAGCUCUAAAAAACAAUAUUGAGUCGCAGAAGUUGUUUAUCCUGCUUCUGAUUUAACUAUACAGGAAUUAUUAAUUAUUGUUAAUUUAUAUAUAUUAUGAUUGUUAAUUUAUAAGUUUUGAGCUCUCGCAAUAGCACUAAAUUUAUUAAUAUAAAUGUAAAAUAUUGUUAAAUUAG